CUCCUAUAUGAAAACAUGGAAGGACCUUUCAAGAAAAACGUUGCAAGUUCAUGGGAAAGGGCGGAUUACAAUCCCGUUGGAUGGUGGAAGCUCUAUGGAACAGAAGUUCCUUUGUUACAAAAAAUGGCUAUGAGGAUCCUCUCGUUGACUUCUAGCUCUUCCGGUUGUGAAAGAAACUGGAGCGUCUACGAAAUGAUUCAUACCAAGAGAAGAAAUAGACUGACAAUUGAUCGCCUCAACAAUAUGGUCUAUAUACAAUUCAAUACAAGGAUGCUGUCCAAGAGACAAAGGUUGAAGGAUAA